rnacentral:rRNA from 1 species
UUUAAUUGAAGAGUUUGAUCAUGGCUCAGAUUGAACGCUGGCGGCAGGCCUAACACAUGCAAGUCGAGCGGCAGCGACAACAUUGACCCUUCGGGUGAUUUGUUGGGCGGCGAGCGGCGGACGGGUG